rnacentral:rRNA from 1 species
UGUUAUCAUGGGGCGUCGUGGCGCGGUAGCACGGAGGGUGCGUGGGUUGUCCUGAAUCACGGGGCGUAAAGGGGGCGUAGGCGGCGCAUUAAGUGGCUGGUGAAAUCCCGGGGCUCAACGCCGGGGCGGCCGGUCAGACUGGUUGGCUCGGGCACGGUAGAGGCGGAUGGAAUUCCCGGUGUAGCGGUGGAAUGCGUAGAGAUCGGGAAGAAUACCGGUGGCGAAGGCGUUCCGCUGGGCCGUUGCUGACGCUGAGGCGCGACAGCGUGGGGAGCAAACAGGAUUAGAUACCCUAGUAGUC